rnacentral:tRNA from 1 species
GGGGGUGUAGCUCAGUGGUAAAGUGCUUACCUAGCACAUGAGAGGUUUUGGGUUUGGUCCCCAACACCACACA